rnacentral:tRNA from 1 species
GUCUUUCUGGUGUAAGUUAGCAUGGCUGGUUGUGGCCCUUCAGGAGAAGUAGAAGUCUUCGAAAGGCC